rnacentral:rRNA from 1 species
UACGUAGGUGACAAGCGUUGUCCGGAUUUACUGGGCGUAAAGAGCGCGCAGGCGGUCGAUCAAGUCGAGUGUGAAAGCCCCCGGCUCAACUGGGGAGGGUCAUUCGAAACUGAUCGACUCGAAGGCAGGAGAGGGUAGUGGAAUUCCCGGUGUAGUGGUGAAAUGCGUAGAUAUCGGGAGGAACACCAGUGGCGAAGGCGACUACCUGGCCUGUUCUUGACGCUGAGGCGCGAAAGCUAGGGGAGCAAACGGG